rnacentral:rRNA from 1 species
AAAGGACGAAUAAAAGAAAUUUUAGGAUGAAUGACUAGGAUUUUUAAAAAAUAAAGACCAGAGUAAUUACAUUGAAGGUCAUGGGCCCCAAAAGGGGAGAAAAAAAAAAGAGACUGGGAAAUGAAUCAUCUUAGUACCAGGGAAAAGAAAUCAACCGAGAUCCCGUUAGUAGUGAGAACGAAAGUGGGGGGAGAAUUUUAUCGAACAAAGAAGGUAAAAGACCUGUAGAUAAAAGGGGGAAAAACCAAAAGGGUGGACCACCAUCCAAGGGAAAAAAUCCCCAAAAAAAUAAAAAUACCGAUAGUGAAAAGUACUGUGAAGGAAAGUUGAAAGAGAGUUGAAAAAGAACCGGAAAUCCUAAAAAGAAAAGCAGUCGGGGAGGAACCGGCGUACCUUUUGUAUAAGUGGUUCGCAAGAAGAAAAUUUGGCAAACUUAAGUCAAGAAGAUAUAGGUAUUUUGAAAGAAGAAAAAAAGAAGAAAAAAGUCAAAUGAACCCGAAACCAAGUGAUCUAUUCCUGGUCAGGUACGGGAGAAAAAAAACCGUGACCGAACCGGUGGAUGUGGCAAAAUCCUCGGAGGAACUGGGGAUAGGGGUGAAAAACCAAUCGCACUUGGAUAUAGCUGGUUUUCUGCGAAAACUAUCUAAGUAGGACCGGGGUCAAGGGACUCUGAGUCAGACAUAGGACGAUAAGGCCCUAUGUCGAAAGGGAAAAAACCCAGACCAUUAGUUAAGGGCAUUAA